rnacentral:rRNA from 1 species
AAAACGACUCUCGGCAACGGAUAUCUAGGCUCUCGCAUCGAUGAAGAACGUAGCAAAAUGCGAUACUUGGUGUGAAUUGCAGAAUCCCGUGAAUCAUCGAGUUUUUGAACGCAAGUUGCGCCCGAAGCCAUUAGGCUGAGGGCACGUCUGCCUGGGCGUCUCA